GAGGACAAGGGUAAAGGCAACCCCCAGCAGGGCGUUUGGCCCCCUCCGCCCCGCACCAUUCUUCCUCUGUUUCUCAGUGUUCUUACCUCAAGAAUAAUCUCAGGAGGCCUCCUAUAAGCCAUCAGUGGCAACGACUGCCAAAAGCCUCUCCCACUUCCAAUCCAGGAGGGAGAAGUAUUGGAACGAACGAUAGCAGCACCUGCAAAUUAAAACACGGGCACAAUGGUCAAGCAAGGCCAGGAGGAAUCAAGGGCUGCUGACUGUUUUCCACGUGGACAGCUGCACAGAGAUGCCGGCUGCCUUUGCAGCUUUGCAAGUAUCAGUAGAUUGUAGAGCCCUGUGCUGACACCAAAAGGCUCCCAGUGUGAUAACACUCAAUUCUCUUAAUUAUAAUGCCUUUCCAUGUACGACAACAAUAGAUGUGAAGGAUACGUGUUUUUUUGUUUUGUUUUUUGUUUUUAUGAUCCCAGUAUUGGCUAUGUAUAGGAGAGAUUUGCUUCUGUCUGGCAGGGACGCUGGUGGACAUUUGCCACAGAUUUGAAACACAGCCCUGCUUUAAUCAAGCUGUGUUCUCUGAAAAACACGAAGCAGUAAAAUUACCACAGGAGGUCACUGUUGUGACACGUAUGCCACAUCUAUAUGACAGUGCUGAGGACCAACAUUCCCCUUUUGAAUAGUGCUUCGUAUGCCUGUUCCUGCUGCUUCAGAAGUCACAGUCACAGACAUCUUGUAUGGUAAAAAGCUUCCAUUGAAAUAAGCAGGAGGCAUUACUUUUGGAGCAACCUAUCUAUAUUGACUCCUAAGCAUUAUCUUUCACCUCUGAAUUUUGUCUGCUUCAUCCUGUUUUCUCCACAUGAGCAACCUGUUGGGAAGUCUGGGACUGAAUAGUAAUGAAAAGAAGAGAUGAGAAAUGCAGGGUGAAUUGUUGAAUUCAGAAAUGAGACAACAGAUUAAAAGAAGAUGAUGGAUGGGAAUAAAAUACAGAUGUCAAAACUUACAUUAUUGAUUGGAUAUUAAGAUUAUUUUCCCUACUUCUGUGUUUCUCUUGAGGACAUGAGGAAGAGAUUUGAGCUCUUCAUCUGAAAAACUUACACCACAGCACAAAGAGUGCACUGAAAAGAACAAAUAUACUUGUUGUACCUCACAGGACACCUAAGAGUCAAAUUAGAAAGAAAGGAAAACUUCCCUGAGAUUAUGUUAGCACAGUUAUACAGACAAAAUUCUACUAACACGUUCUGUUUUUGAUGGAAACUAUCAAUUCUCAUAAAAAUCCUUUCUCAAUAAAAAAUUAUCUAUGU
rnacentral:lncRNA from 7 species